UACGUAGGGAGCAAGCGUUGUCCGGAAUCAUUGGGCGUAAAGCGCGCGUAGGUGGCCUCAUAAGUCCGCUGUGAAAAGUCAAAGGCUCAACCUUUGAAAGCCGGUGGAUACUGUGAGGCUAGAGUACGGAAGAGGCGAGUGGAAUUCCUGGUGUAGCGGUGGAAUGCGCAGAUAUCAGGAGGAACACCAAUAGCGAAGGCAGCUCGCUGGGACGUUACUGACACUGAGGCGCGAAAGCGCGGGGAGCGAACAGG
rnacentral:rRNA from 1 species